GCAGAUGUAAUUAGGAUAGUAAUCAGGUAUCCUUAAAUUAGGGAGUGCAUCCUGGAUUAUCCAGCCGAGAUCAGUGUAAUCACAUGAUACUGUAUAAACAGAAGAUGCAGGCCAAAGAAAGUCAGAGAAAUGCAUUAGAAUAAGAGGGAGGAGAGAUACAGCAGAAGGUUGAGGGGCUGGCCCCGUGGCUGAGUGGUUAAGUUCGCGCGCUCCGCUGCAGGCAGCCCAGUGUUUCGUUGGUUCGAAUCCUGGGCGCGGACAUGGCACUGCUCAUCAAACCACGCUGAGGCAGCGUCCCACAUGCCACAACUAGAAGGACCCACAACGACGAAUAUACAACUAUGUACCGGGGGGCUUUGGGGAGAAAAAGGAAAAAAUAAAAUCUUU
rnacentral:lncRNA from 1 species